rnacentral:tRNA from 1 species
GCAUGGGUGGCGGAAUUGGCAGACGCACUAGCUUGAGGUGCUAGCGAGGUAACUCUCGUAGGGGUUCGAGUCCCCUCCCGUGCA